rnacentral:sRNA from 1 species
UCACAGUAUCCAAGUUA